AUGUCUACUCUCCACCGUCCCUCUCAUGUUCGUGCUAAAUUGGGAUGUCGCGACAUUGAUAAGCUUCCCACGUCUGCUGAAGGGUGUCUGGGAGGACGUUUCUAUCAUUUUCAGUAUGAGGUUGAGGAGAUUUUGGUGAGGAAUAUGGUCCAAGAAGAAGAGCCCGUCCAGAUCCCACGCUAUGUUGGCCAAAGAGUGAUGACACCUAAGAAAAAAUGGGAUGAUACACCGCCUGAUGAGAAUAAUAAGUCCUCUGAAAGGAAUGAUAACAAAAAUACCUCUUCUUAUCGUGGCGGCAAGGCCUGUUGCAUGCCGUCACUUGAUGAGAAGAAGAAAAUUCAUAAAGAGAACAACGCCUCUUGA
rnacentral:rRNA from 1 species